rnacentral:rRNA from 1 species
UACGUAGGUGACCAGCGUUGUCCGGAUUUACUGGGCGUAAAGAGCGCGCAGGCGGUCGUUCAAGUCGAGUGUGAAAGCCCCCGGCUCAACUGGGGAGGGUCAUUCGAUACUGUUCGACUCGAAGGCAGGAGAGGGAAGUGGAAUUCCGGGUGUAGUGGUGAAAUGCGUAGAUAUCCGGAGGAACACCAGUGGCGAAGGCGACUUUCUGGCCUGUUCUUGACGCUGAGGCGCGAAAGCUAGGGGAGCAAACGGG